rnacentral:tRNA from 1 species
UCCCUGGUAGUCCAGGGGUUAAGACUCUGCAUUACCAGAGCAGGGGGCCUGGGUUCAAACCCUGGUCAGGGAC